GCCUGGGUGGCUCAGUGGUUGAGCAUCUGACUUUGGCUCAUGUGGUAAUCCUGGGGUCUUGGGAUCAAGUCCCACAUCAGGCU
rnacentral:tRNA from 1 species